rnacentral:misc_RNA from 1 species
AUUAAAUAGCUGCCUUGUACCAUGAGACUCCUUGUUAAUUGUUAGUCAAAUCAGUUUCCAACAAUUGCAAACAUGCAAGUUCUAAAAGCAGUUUUACAGCAUAGUUGCUAUGAACAACAUAGUAAACAAAAUGAAAUAUUCCCAUGUAGGGAGCUUGACUUGCAACUUGAUUUUUGCUAAAAAUCCAAUACUUUGAAUUUAUUUUUUUAAAUUAUUAAAGAAAAGAAAACUAACAAGCCUAUUUUCUUAUUUGUGUGAAGAGUUCUGGAGGUUUUCCAGUUCCUCCUGCACUGCCACCAAAAGCUGAGAAACCACCGGUUCCUUGUUGGUUGCCGCCUGCAUUACCGCUGAAAGCCGAGAAACCACCAACUCCCUGCUGGUUAUUGAAACCCCCAAAUCCACCACCUGCUCCAGCAAAACUACCACUUCCAGGAGCAGCAGCAGCAGCAAAACCACUGCUGGCUGAAGCCAUGCCACCAAAUCCACCAGCACCAGAAGCAACACCAGCAAACCCCCCACCACCAGAGGCCAAACCUGCAAAGCCACCACCAGUAGAACCAACACCAGCAAAUCCACCACCAGUUGCAGCACUUGAAAAACCACCCAUGGAACUAGUACUAGCAAAGCCACUAGGUAAACCAGCACCAAAUUGUCUCGACUGCCCAAAAGAACCCAGAACUGAUCCCAGUGCUGCUUGACCUGCUCCAAUCUGUGCUGGCUGGCCAAACCCACCUGGUGCAGGACCUUGACCAACUGCUCCAGCACCAAAACCAACAGAGAAUGCACCCAGAUUUGUUGGCAGUGAUGGUUGGGAAGGCUCUGGCGAUUGAAAGCUAGAUGAAGCAGGCCGAAAGAGUUCUCCACUAGGCAGAGUCAUAUUGAAUGAAGAGCUUGCUUGAUUUGUUGCCACAUUUCCAAAUGAGCCACCAAAUGGAUUUGAUCUAGGAGCAGCCGAGCUAGGGGUUGAGCCAAGACCGAAAGCUCCAAAGUUGCCCAAACUAAUUUCAUUUGUGCGGCUAGUCUCAGGAGCCUCCUCCUCCAUUUCAUCCUCUUCCGUAAUUGCAACAUCCAAAUUUGCAUUCUUUCCACUAGCGGCGUCAUCAGAAGCUAGUGGUACCCCAAAAGGAACAUGUGCAUCAGCUGGCUGUUUAGGUUGCACAUUCAGCUCUACACCAGAUGCAGGACUUGCCACGCUCAAACUGGACUGAUUUCCAGACCCAAACCGACUUGAAAUUUCACUUGUAAGGAUGGAAGGCUUCAAAUUAAAUGCAGGAGGAUCAAGCUGCGUAUGAGGAACUGUUAUAGCAGUAUCAACAUCUGCUCUUGAGCUAAAUUUGUCUGCAGAAGGUUGCAGCUGUAUUUUAAUAGACUCUGAUGUAAAAUGAGAAGUUGGAUCAGAAGGUGGAGUUUUGCCUGCAGGGGGUUGAGGAACUGGUUUAGGAGAGACUGACGUUAAAGGUUGAGUGUGCAAAGGUGAUUGUGACUUGGGAGCCUGAACUGAGAAGGAACAAGAAGGGGAAACUGAAGAUGAAAAGGAUGUUAAAGGGACUGUUUGAUUAACAUCAAUGUUGUCUUUAGGAGUGAUCAAAGACGUGCCAAAUGGCUUUGCAGCCAACGAGGAUGGUCCAGUUGAAGAUGGAGUAGAUGCAGAAGAUGCAAUGUUUAAUGAUGAGCUAACCAUUGGAGAUGAAGAAACUGAAAGUGGCAUUGAGAAUGUUUGAAAAAAUGAUGUUUUUGCACCAGGUUGGCUUCCGCUAGCUGCAAUGUUGAACUGGGGAACUUUUCCAGGAUGGGAGGGACCUGCUGGAGCAGCAGUGUUGAGAAGAGGAAUCGACGAAUCAUAACUUUUUGUACUACUUGGUCCAUGAUUUACAGUUUCAAUAGUCGAAUUUGUAAGCACAGUCUCCCUCAUUUCACUUGACUUCAUCAUCAGUGGUGUCUGUGCAGGAAACUCAAUUGAGACUGAUGAUUUUUUAUGUGGGUUAGCUUCAGAUUGCUGAAUAGACUUGGUGUCAUCGAUCAACACAGAAUCAGACUUCCCAAUAGAGGAAACCAUACCACUUAAUUUAUCUGCAGUAAUAUUGCUAGUUUCCCUGGCAAGGAUUUGCGCUGUUACAGGCAAUGCUUGGGAUGGUGAAAUUGCUGGCAACACAGCAUUGCUACUGUGUGAUAUAGAAGGCCUCAACCCUGUAGCUUUAGAUGUGGGUUGAGAUGGUGGAGGAGAGUCAUUAGCCCAUUUAGAUGGAGUUGAUUUGUUAUCGAAGGCCUGUUUUGGAAGCAUAUACUGAAUACCUUUGUUUCCAGAUGGGUACAUGAAGGUGGAAGGAGAUGUGAGGUCCUUAGGGUGACUGACUGCUGAGCUAUCCACCAAAGAUGGGCCGAGUUGUUGCCUAUCCAUCAAGGAUGAUUUAUUCACACUUGUCUUUUGACUUUCUUGCAAAAGUACCCUCUUUACAGUUGUUUUUGCAGGUUCAAAACUCACCCAGCUCUGAUCCAGCGAGUCUCUCCUUCUCCUCACAGUUUCUGAAUCAGAACUAUUCAUAGCGCUUGAUUGGAGCCUUCUUGACUGAGAUUUAUUAGCAGCAGAACCAGAAGAAAUUAAAAGUGUCUUCAAUGAAGAGGAAUUGCCAACUUUUGUUGCAUCUGGAGAGCUGAAAGCGGGGUCAUAGGGGAUUCCAAUUGUUUCAAAGAGUUCCUUCUUCACAUUCUUUUGUUUUACAGGUGAUUCUAUGCUCAGUACAGCCAUUUGUUUUGAGAGGCGUUCUGAAAGUUGUUCAGCAGCUGCUAAUUGUGAAUAUGUUGUGUUAUGUAAAGUAUGCAAGGAUUGAACUUCUCUUGAAGGCCCAUAUCUAUUUUGAAAAGCUCUCCGACCUGUCACAUGAACUCCAGAAUCACCAAACUUAUGGAGUUCAAGGGUAUUGAAGUGCCUCUCCAAUUCAAUUAACCGAUUGGUCAAAACCUGAUUUAGUUUUAAUAUAUGGCGCCUCUUCAGCUCAAGUUCAGAACUCAACUUUUGGCGAUUCCAGAGUUCCCAAUAUUGGUUAUCAGAGGCUUGCUUAACAAUACCAUCAAUGUAUAUUUUCCUUGCCAGAACUUGCACAGUUUUAUCCAGAAGAUGUCUGAUCUCUCCAAGCUGCUCAUUCAUCAUGCUCGUCCACAUUCUGCAUUUUUCAGAAAGAGUUUGCAUGUGCUCCUCCAAAGCUUCAAUUGAACCCCUUUGGGAAACAGUGCAGGCAUCCCUGAAGCCACCUGGUUCUUCAAUAGAUUGCAAAAGUGAAUCCAAUUCUUUGGCCAUCUCUUUAAUAUUGCCAAAUUGUCUUGAUAAGUAUGACUUAGAAUUUGAUAGGGAUGGAGCUCUAUGAGCAUCCUUUGAAGAAAAAGGACUACGGUUGGCAAACCCUCCCAAAGCAAAGGUUUCUUGAGAUGGUAACUGUGAAUUACGAAUAGAAGGCAAUGGCUCAAUUGUCCCUGUCAUCACUGAAGCCUUCUGUCCCACAAUCUGGGUGGGUCUAAUGGAUAAAUUUGUUGAAGGAGAUUCAUAGAUAAUAUCCUUAAAGUGAAAACGUUUUCCAGUAAGGUCCACGGGAAUAUUUCCAGCAUCAACACUAAUGCCAGUUUUAUCAGAUUUAUUUCCUUGAAUUAGAGAAGGUAAAAAUGGACCUCUGCUUUCAUAACACCCUGAAAACAUAACCUUUUCACUUGACAAUGACUGAGAUGGGGCACCAGUGGAAAUAAUUGCAACUGGUGAAUCCACAGGCAGGUCAACACUUUUUUGGCUGGGGACAUCUGAAGGAACUUUCUUUGAGAAAGAAGCAGGACCAGAUCUAAAUUCAGUAAUUUUUUGAGUUUCUGCUUUGCUAGGAUGCUUGUCAAAAUAGCUAGGCCCCUCUAGGGGUGAAUUCCUCAAAGAUGACUGCCCAACUUCAGCACUUUGCUGACCAAAAACCUGUGCUUGUUGACCACCUACAGCUUGGUCCAGCUUUGUGACAGAAACAUUUUCUUGGCCAUCCGCUACAGAAGGCUUAAAGUUCACCAGAGAUUCGCCUUGGUGCCCUUUGGGAAUAGUAUCUUUAUAGGCUGUUUGUUCUGUAACAGGCAAAGUCACUGAACUCUCACCCUUACCAGAAGGCAUAAGGUCAGUCUUUGUAGGAAUUUCACUAACUGUACCAACAUUUGACUCCCAUUUGCUCCCAUCCUGCAGUUGAAGACCUAUUUCUACCUGUUCCAAUGUUUGUUUUCCUAGUCCAGAAGGAAGUUUAGCCUGCCCACAUCCUGCAGGUACAUCUGACAAAGAAUCCUCUUCUUCAUCAUUAAGGUCAAAAUCAUCCUCAGGUGGAAUGGUAAGUCCUUUGGCACUUGCAACAUAGAACAUAACAAGCUUUCCCUCAAGAGUAACACAGAAAAGAACACAAUAUGGUGAAAGUUCUUUCUGUUCAAGCCCAACAUCAGCUUUGACUUUUCCAAAAAGGGAAACCUUAUCAACACAAAGCCCCAUGAUCAAGUUAUCAUCACCAUCACCUUGAAGUUCAAUCCUUGGGACCCAAGUAUCUCGAUCAAUAUCAAUAACUGAAGUUUCACCAUCCUCUACUGACCAACGAAGUAAUUGAAUGUGCUGAUCAGUAUUCUUUCUGUUUGCUGUAAUUGCAACAGCCCAUUGUUCUAAAUAGCUCAAGAACAAGUAAGGUCCAUUUCCAUAGGGCACAAUGUCAUCAACGAGACCAGAAAAUAAAUCAUAGAAUGAUAACACAGAUGGCUUGGAAGAAGCAUCAGUAAUCUUGCCAUCUUUGCUUCUGAUUAUUUGGAUAAGGUAAUUUUUCUCCUUCCCAUCUGCAGUUUGCUGAAAGCAUCCUACAACAAUGCUAUCAGGACGUACCCACCUGAUAGAAUCCACUUUAACACUACAACUAUCUUCAGAAUCACCAAUCCACGACUUGAACGGUAAGGAAAUGUGCAACCUUUCCCUGAAUUUAGAUGACAAAAUGUGGAGAAUAUUCUCUCUUGCCACAACAAUAUAGUUUCCCUUUAAACUCCAGUCAACAGCAUCGACGUUCUCCAUUACAUCUUUAGGAGGAGCACCAAGAGCACCAUGAUAUAGCUUUCCAUGAUGUGAAAGAACGAGAAAAGACAUUUCUAAUCUCCUUCUCCAUAUCAUAUCCUUGACAAAAGCACUUGAUUCACUCAGUGAACAAGAGAAAGAUGGGUUCAAGUCCUUUUUAAGAAGAGAAUCAACAGAAAAUAAAUGAACAUCACCGGCAGCACAAACCGCAAGCGUAGAAGAAUCAGUAGAGAGAGAAAGAAUGUUCACUUUCUCAAAAGGCACAUGCACAACACUCAGCUCUUCUAUAGAAGAAGAAGUACCCUUGGCCUUAAUCUCCUCGGCGGCAUCCAUAACAUCCUUGGUCCUAGCAACACAAAACCCUGAAGAAUGAGCAACGAAGAUGAGGCGGUGGUGCUCGGAGACGGCGAAAGGACGAGAGGGAGGAGAUUGCAAUUGGUAGGCAUCACCUUUGACGAUAGGAAUGGGUUUGCCGAUCUUGUCGAAGAAGUAAUCCUCCGAAUCCUCACGGCCACCUUCAAUGUCUUCUUCUAUUUCUAGUUUUUUUAUGCUUUUAUCGUCACCUUCGGCUCCCAUGCUUUGAUUUUUCAAAAAAAAAAAAUUGAAGCAAUUAGGAUUAGCAGUAGCAGUUCCAGAAGGGGUGCACUACCAGCUACACAAAUUGCAGCUAGGCUAGUGUGUGAGUGUGUGUCCUUGGGCGGGCAGAAUGGCAGAGCCCUAAAAGCGCCUCAAUGAUCGGUCUUCUUGGUCGGCACCUGCUAACGAAGUCGUUUUAAA